GAUCCUGGCUCAGGACGAACGCUGGCGGCGUGCCUAAUACAUGCAAGUAGAACGCUGAAGGAGGAGCUUGCUUCUCUGGAUGAGUUGCGAACGGGUGAGUAACGCGUAGGUAACCUGCCUGGUAGCGGGGGAUAACUAUUGGAAACGAUAGCUAAUACCGCAUAAUAUUGAUUAUUGCAUGAUAGUCAAUUAAAAGGUGCAAUUGCAUCACUACCAGAUGGACCUGCGUUG
rnacentral:rRNA from 1 species